rnacentral:misc_RNA from 1 species
GAAAUAAGAUUGAGUGCCAAAUUAGGGAUAUAAUAGGUGUCAGGGAGAUGAAGAUUUGAGGUAGACACAUGACCAGUAUGUGUGAUGUUCAUUUUAGUACCAUUUGCAGUAUGGAUUGGUGGUAAGGAAGAUACAGGUUUUGCAGAAGACAAGAAUUUAAUAUUAGUAGUCAUAUGAUUACAACAUGCAAAGUCAAAAAGCCAAUAAGAAUUACCCGGAGUGGCAGACAUGGCAGCAGGAGAAUUAGAAGAGAUAACCUGUUUGAAUAGUGCCUCAAGAUCACUCAUGGUGAUGGCAGUAGAACCCUCAGUAGCAGCAACAGUAGUAACAGAGGAAGAUCCAGGCUUUGAGACAUUCUUGAAUUUAGAAUGCCCUCCUUUUGGUCUUGGAGGGCGUGUGGGACAAUGUUCAAGAAUAUGACCGUAACCAUGACAAUAUCUGCAUUCUAUAGUAGGACAAUAUGCAAAAGCAUGACCAAUUUGAUUACAAUUCUUACAAAGUUGAUUGCCAGAUUUCUAAUGUGAGGAUCGAGUAGUUGCAAGAGUUGUUUCAAAUU